CAUCCACCCACUCUCCUCAGCUCUCAGCUGGAACUGGAGCCUGACCCUGAGCAUGACAUUUGGCAUAGUCGUUGGCAGGAUGAGAUAAUCCUCUCUCCACAACUUGAUAAUGCACAAACUGCAAAUCUUCUGGUACUCACUGCUGCAAGCAAACUUGAAGUCUUUCUGAGAUGAUGAAACCAAUGUCCUGAAGUCUGAAGUUCCCUGGCUACAGCCUACUGGCUAGUAAUCAGCAGAGUGGGGAUUUAUGUUCUAGGUCGCUCUUGGUUCCAAGGCCACUGCACUAUGUUGCUUUCCAGCUCCCUGCAGAACAGCAAGUACACUUUCAUAUACACCAUAGAGAAUUUUUGAA
rnacentral:lncRNA from 1 species